UACGGAGGAGGCAAGCGUUAUCCGGAAUUAUUGGGCGUAAAGCGUCCGCAGGUGGCUGUGUAAGUCUGCUGUUAAAGAGUCUAGCUCAACUAGAUAAAAGCAGUGGAAACUACACGGCUAGAGUACGUUCGGGGCAGAGGGAAUUCCUGGUGUAGCGGUGAAAUGCGUAGAGAUCAGGAAGAACACCGGUGGCGAAGGCGCUCUGCUAGGCCGUAACUGACACUGAGGGACGAAAGCUAGGGGAGCGAAUGGG
rnacentral:rRNA from 1 species